rnacentral:lncRNA from 1 species
CCUCCAUUGAACUGACCUGAGCCAAUUCACAGAAACAAGCUUUUCCAAGUCCCAAAAUUUAUCAUCUGUAUGCAUAGCCACAGUCAAAAACUCAUAACUCAGAGACAAAUAUCAUUGUAUUCAUACUAUUGUACUUCUCCAUUCAUUGCCUCAAUUUGCUUGAACUGAUUCACAGUUCAGCAUUAAUUAUGAUUUCUUUCCAACUCACGUGCUACUUCCCUACCACCUUCUGCUAUUUCUCUUCUUUAAUUUGUUACAAUUAAACCAAAUAAAUGCUAUGCCAACUACUUGUUAUCACCCAUUUCCACUCUUCUUAUUGGUCUUCCCUCAAAGUGCUCUUUCUUCUCAUCUUCCACCUUCUUUUUCCUUCCACAAAAACAUAGCUUCCAUUCAUCCAAUUUCCAAUAUUCUUCUUCCAUUUCACAAUAUAUGAAUAAAGAAC